AGAGUUUGAUCCUGGCUCAGAAUCAACGCUGGCGGCGCGCUUAACACAUGCAAGUCGCACGAGAAAGUGGAGCAAUCCAUGAGUACAGUGGCGUACGGGUGAGUAACACGUGGAUCAUCUACCUUCUAGUGGGGAAUACCCCCGGGAAACUGGGGACAAUACCGCAUAAGCUCGUAAGAGGAAAGCAGCAAUGCGCUGGAAGAGGAGUCCGCGGCUGAUUAGCUAGUUGGCGGGGUAAUGGCCCACCAAGGCGAAGAUCGGUAGCCGGCCUGAGAGGGCACACGGCCACACUGGCACUGAAACACGGGCCAGACUCCUACGGGAGGCAGCAGUGGGGAAUCUUGCACAAUGGAGGAAACUCUGAUGCAGCGACGCCGCGUGAGCGAUGAAGCCCUUCGGGGUGUAAA
rnacentral:rRNA from 1 species